rnacentral:sRNA from 1 species
UUAACAGCCCUGGAAACCUAAGCCCUCUAUUUAUCCCAAGAAUAAGUACAGCCAAGGCAGAAGCAGAGUGCCUUAACCUUGACCUGAAGGGAUAAAAUCUAGGGGUAAGUCUCUGUUCUAAUUCAACCUUUCACCUCU